GCCUGGCCCUAAAUCUUGAUGCUCGAUCUUACCGGAGCAUCCGCCCGAGAACUACGAGCACCAACGCUUAAAACUCUAAGGACUUGGCGGUGUUCCAAACCCACCUAGAGGAGCCUGUUCUAUAAUCGAUGAUCCACGAUAUACCUGACCAUUCCUUGCCAAAUCAGCCUAUAUACCGCCGUCGCCAGCCCACCCCGCAUGAAGGCCCAACAGUGGACGCAAUAGCCCUACCGCGCUAAUACGACAGGUCAAGGUAUAGCCUAUGGAAUGGAGGCAAUGGGCUACAUUUUCUAAGCUAGAACAUAACGGCAAAGGGANAUGAAAUUGNCCCUGGAAGGAGGAUUUAGCAGUAAAGUGGGACAAUCGAGCCCUCUUUAAGCCGGCCCUGGAGCACGU
rnacentral:rRNA from 1 species